CAAGACGGGGGCGUGUAUUUUGAGGAGGCGUGUCUUGUAAGGAGGGCGUGUAUUUAGUCGGCCCUGAUUGGUCUGAUUAACGACGGCGUCUGGCGUCACACAUAGCCUCGUGCAGAGCCAUAAUCUAUUCUAUUUGACAUUUGCGGAUCUCUUCUCUUGUCGAACCUACUCCGGAGAUGUAACGAACUGGUCAACAGCAGUUAGAUAGCAGAAAGAUGAUUGCCUCGAUUGAUUUGAUCCAUCCAACUGUCUGCAAACAUGAAUCUCUGAUGCAGCCAGUGCGGUUGGGAGAUUCUUACGGGUGCCAAGUUUGCAGAAAAUUUGGCGAUUACCCAGCCAUGGUUGCACAUGUUCAAACACAUGACAAAGCAGCCAUAUCUCACAAUGGCUACAAAAUCUAUAGGUGCCAACACAACUGUGCCAACACAAGAUCUCCACACUACCACUGUGUGUGCUCAACCAUUACUGGCAGCAAAACUUC